rnacentral:sRNA from 1 species
UUAUCACCGAUUGGCUAGCACUAGAGAUCUCGACAACAAAAACCCCAACAUGAAGAAAAAAAAAGUUAGAUCAACCUCGUAGAGCCACCAAAACAUCUGCCGCCACAAACUGAACCAAGAACCAAGGAAGCAAGCAAGAUGACAGAUCCCGCAAGAAACAUCGCCAACAAGGGCGAACAUCGGGGAGGACCAACAAGGGUUCACAAAAGUGAUGGUGCGAACACCCGAGCCAAAAGCUCUACACACCCUCCCAUAGAUUCGUGACAAAUUACGGUGAACAUCAACAGUAGUUGAAUGGAAUUUGGUAUGGUCAAAGAGAUGAUGGAGCCAGAUGAAUAAAAUGAUGGAAGAGAAUGAAAAAAGGAGGAUGGAGGACACGUAGAGACUGGAGUUUGUAACCUUCUGGAUAUUUGUCCGAGGCAUUGAAUAUCAUAUCAUGGGCGUUUUCCAUGCACAACUUCAGUUUUUGUGGAUCUAUGGUGCCUUUUUUCAUUGUUAAGACGAAGUUAAGCGCAUUUGAGAAUUCAGUCAACUUGGGAAUGGGAACCUGCAAGAAUGCAAAAUGAUUUCCCCAUGGGCUCUUGCUGUCGGGUUUGACCAUUUCUUCAAUCGAAGUAUAAUUCCCCAUGAUCCUCGUAUUUAGUAAACCAAUGCAGUGCUAUGGGCUUCC